UACGUAGGGGGCAAGCGUUGUCCGGAUUUAUUGGGCGUAAAGAGCGUGUAGGCGGUUUGGUAGGUCCGUUGUGAAAACUCGAGGCUCAACCUCGAGACGCCGGUGGAAACCAUCAGACUAGAGUCCGGAAGAGGAGAGUGGAAUUCCUGGUGUAGCGGUGAAAUGCGCAGAUAUCAGGAGGAACACCGAUGGCGAAGGCAGGUCUCUGGGCAUUAACUGACGCUGAGGAGCGAAAGCAUGGGGAGCGAACAGG
rnacentral:rRNA from 1 species